rnacentral:rRNA from 1 species
GUCCACGCUGUAAACGAUGACGACUAGGUGUGGGGUGGUUCAGUCCAUUCCGUGCCGCAGCUAACGCAUUAAGUCGUCCGCCUGGGGAGUACGGCCGCAAGGUUGAAACUCAAAAGGAAUUGACGGGGGCCCGCACAAGCGGUGGAGCAUGUGGUUCAAUUCGAUGCAGAGCGAAGAACCUUACCUGGGCUUGACAUGUAGGAAGUAGAAACCCGAAAGGGCGACGACCUGUUGAGUCAGGAGCCUACACAGGUGGUGCAUGGCUGUCGU